rnacentral:rRNA from 1 species
UACACUCCUACGGGAGGCAGCAGUGGGGAAUUUUGGACAAUGGGCGAAAGCCUGAUCCAGCCAUGCCGCGUGCAGGAUGAAGGCCUUCGGGUUGUAAACUGCUUUUGUACGGAACGAAACGGCCUUUUCUAAUAAAGAGGGCUAAUGACGGUACCGUAAGAAUAAGCACCGGCUAACUACGUGCCAGCAGCCGCGGUAAUACGUAGGGUGCAAGCGUUAAUCGGAAUUACUGGGCGUAAAGCGUGCGCAGGCGGUUAUGUAAGACAGUUGUGAAAUCCCCGGGCUCAACCUGGGAACUGCAUCUGUGACUGCAUAGCUAGAGUACGGUAGAGGGGGAUGGAAUUCCGCGUGUAGCAGUGAAAUGCGUAGAUAUGCGGAGGAACACCGAUGGCGAAGGCAAUCCCCUGGACCUGUACUGACGCUCAUGCACGAAAGCGUGGGGAGCAAACAGGAUUAGAAACCCUUGUAGUCCCAUG